GAUGAACGCUGGCGGCGUGCCUAAUACAUGCAAGUCGAGCGAAUGGAUUAAGAGCUUGCUCUUAUGAAGUUAGCGGCGGACGGGUGAGUAACACGUGGGUAACCUGCCCAUAAGACUGGGAUAACUCCGGGAAACCGGGGCUAAUACCGGAUAACAUUUUGAACCGCCUGGUUCGAAAUUGAAAGGCGGCUUCGGCUGUCACUAAUGGAUGGACCCGCGUCGCAUUAGCUAGUUGGUGAGGUAACGGCUCACCAAGGCAACGAUGCGUAGCCGACCUGAGAGGGUGAUCGGCCACACUGGGACUGAGACACGGCCCAGACUCCUACGGGAGGCAGCAGUAGGGAAUCUUCCGCAAUGGACGAAAGUCUGACGGAGCAACGCCGCGUGAGUGAUGAAGGCUCUCGGGUCGUAAAACUCUGUUGUUAGGGAAGAACAAGUGCUAGUUGAAUAAGCUGGCACCUUGACGGUACCUAACCAGAAAGCCACGGCUAACUACGUGCCAGCCGCCGCCGUAA
rnacentral:rRNA from 1 species